UAAAACUUAAGGGGAUCUGAUGAUA
rnacentral:piRNA from 1 species